rnacentral:SRP_RNA from 1 species
GGUUGAGUCCUGUGCGAUUUCAACGCGUGAACCCUGUCAGGUCCGGAAGGAAGCAGCAGUAAGCGUGGUUUGGGAUGUGCUGCGGGGUUGCUCAGCCUGA